GACAGAGGGUGCAAACGUUGUUCGGAAUUACUGGGCGUAAAGCGCGUGUAGGCGGCCAUGCAAGUCGGAUGUGAAAUCCCACGGCUCAACCGUGGAAGUGCAUUCGAAACUGCAGGGCUAGAGUCCUGGAGAGGAAGGUGGAAUGCUUGGUGUAGAGGUGAAAUUCGUAGAUAUCAAGCGGAACACCGGUGGCGAAGGCGGCCUUCUGGACAGUGACUGACGCUGAGACGCGAAAGCGUGGGGAGCAAACAGG
rnacentral:rRNA from 1 species